rnacentral:pre_miRNA from 1 species
UAGAUAACACGGGUAUCACAUCUUUAUGCAUUCGAUAUCUGGUGAGAUAUUCACGUUGUCUAAA